ACGAAAGUCGCUUGAACUCGCCUUGGUUGAACGACAGUGCUUGGUCACAUGUCUGGGGGUGAGCCAAUCUACGUCUAGGAGGGGCGGGGUGUGGUCGUCAUGGCAACAUUCAAGCUUUGUGACAAAUGACGGUCGUCUUUAAAUUGGCAGCUGCCUCGAGCCUCCUACUGGUACUUCAGAGGAACAACAUGAAGUCCAAAGACGACAUCCGCUUCUACAUGCACCUGACCGAGUUCCGCACCUACCAGGACUACCUGGACUCGCGUGUCAAGCCCCUGGACCUGUACUACACCAAGAGUCGGCAGCUGGCCCGGAAGCUGGUGGAGCAAGGUAUCCGCGGAACCAUCCUGAGCUACGAGGAGUUCGAGGAGACCAAAGCGGCCGUCCUCGCAGCCCAAGCCCCCAAAGCUAAAAGCAGGGUCAAGCGCAAAACUCACGUGAGCGCCGGAAAAGUUCUGACUGACACCUUCCUGAAGGAGCUGGCCGCGCGGGAAGAGGCACACCGGAUUGGCAAGAUGAACAGUAUCAUCUUUCUCAGGGACCACAACUUGGCCGGUCAGGAGAUCUCGGGAUACAUCGACUACGCACACCGACUCCUGACCCACGACCUCGAACCCAUUUUCAGAGGAGACCAGAAGCUGAUGCCGCUUCGCUCCGACCUCUGUGCAGCUUCUACAACUGGACCAAACAAGACACCACGUCCCAGUGCAGCCCGAACUAUGAGGUGAUGUACGACAGCCCCAAGAGUCUGCUCUUCAGGAACAAACGAGACAACAAGAUUCUGGACCUGGAAUUCCUCCUGGCCGGAGGUUCUGAUGACGACUUCCAGCGGAUCCCCAUACAGUCGGACCUCUACACCCAGGUGGUCCUCUACGACCACCACAUCAAGACUUUCUGAGGCUUGGAGGAAACCUGAACCAAAUGAAAACAUCUGCUGAGUCUGAGUGAAUU